AGAGUUUGAUCAUGGCUCAGAACGAACGCUGGCGGCAUGCCUAACACAUGCAAGUCGAACGUGAAAGCCCUUCGGGGUGAGUAGAGUGGCGAACGGGUGAGUAAUGCAUAGGAACGUACUCACAGGAGGGGGACAACCACGGGAAACUGUGGCUAAUACCCCAUGAUCUCGUGAGAGCAAAUGGUGGCCUCUACUUGUAAGCUACCGCCUGUGAAUCGGCCUAUGUCCCAUUAGCUUGUUGGCGGGGUAAAAGCCUGCCAAGGCUACGAUGGGUAGCUGGUCUGAGAGGAUGGUCAGCCACACUGGGACUGAGACACGGCCCAGACUCCUACGGGAGGCAGCAGUGGGGAAUCUUGCACAAUGGGCGCAAGCCUGAUGCAGCAAUGCCGCGUGAGUGAAGAAGGCUUUCGAGUUGUAAAGCUCUUUCGGCUGGGAAGAAGGGUGUUAGGGCGAAUAGUCCUGAUGCUUGACGGUACCAGCAGAAGAAGCACUGGCUAACUCCGUGCCAGCAGCCGCGGUAAUACGGAGAGUGCGAGCGUUGUUCGGAAUAACUGGGCGUAGAGUGCGAGCAGGCGGGUUUGCAAGUCGAUUGUGAAAGCCCGAAGCUUAACUUCGGAAUUGCAGUCGAAACUGCUGAUCUUGAAUGCCUGAGAGGGUAGCGGAAUUCCUGGUGUAGAAGUGAAAUUCGUAGAUAUCAGGAGGAACACUUGUGGCGAAGGCGGCUACCUGGCAGUGCAUUGACGCUGAAUCGCGAAAGCGUGGGGAGCAAACAGGAUUAGAUACCCUGGUAGUCCACGCGGUAAACGAUGGAUACUUGCUGUCUGGAGUGUUAAACCUCUGGGUGGCGAAGCUAACGCAUUAAGUAUCCCGCCUGGGGAGUACGGUCGCAAGGCUAAAACUCAAAGGAAUUGACGGGGGCCUGCACAAGCGGUGGAGUAUGUGGUUUAAUUCGAAGCAACGCGCAGAACCUUACCUGGGCUUAACAUCCCUUGACCGCCUCGGAAACGGGGUUUUCCUUUCGGGGACAAGGUGAUAGGUGCUGCAUGGCUGUCGUCAGCUCGUGUCGUAAGAUGUUGGGUUAAGUCUCGCAACGAGCGCAACCCUUGUCUUUAGUUGCUAACAUUAAGUUGAGCACUCUAAAGUGACUGCCGGUGUCAAUCGGAGGAAGGCGGGGACGACGUCAAGUCCUCAUGGCCCUUAUGCCCAGGGCUACACACGUACUACAAUGGCAGAAACAGACUGAUGCGAAGCCGCGAGGUGGAGCAAAUCGGUAAAACACUGUCUCAGUCCGGAUUGGAGUCUGCAAUUCGACUCCAUGAAGUUGGAAUCGCUAGUAAUCGCAGAUCAGCACGCUGCGGUGAAUACGUUCCCAGGCCUUGUACACACCGCCCGUCACACCACGAGAGUAAUCAUAGCCAGAAGCACGUAAGCUAACCUUCGGGAGGCAGCGUACCAAGGCCGUGGUUGCGAUUGGGGUGAAGUCGUAACAAGGUAGCCGUA
rnacentral:rRNA from 1 species